GAAAUGCGAUAAGUAAUGUGAAUUGCAGAAUUCAGUGAAUCAUCGAAUCUUUGAACGCACCUUGCGCUCCUUGGUAUUCCUUGGAGCAUGCCUGUUUGAGUAUCAUGAAAUCUUCAAAGUAAAUCUUUUGUUAACUCAAUUGGUUUCUACUUUGGUAUUGGAGGUCUUUGCAGCUUCACACCUGCUCCUCUUUGUUCAUUAGCUGGAUCUCAGUGUUAUGCUUGGUUCCACUCGGCGUGAUAAGUUAUCUAUCGCUGAGGACACUGUAAAAGGUGGCCAAGGUAAAUGCAGAUGAACCGCUUCUAAUAGUCCAUUGACUUGGACAAUACUUUUAUGAUCUGAUCUUAAAUCAGGUAGGACUACCCGCUGAACUUAAGC
rnacentral:misc_RNA from 1 species